rnacentral:rRNA from 1 species
UGAACCGGUCGAAGUGACCCGCUGGCUGCAACUGUUUAUUAAAAACACAGCACUCUGCAAACACGAAAGUGGACGUAUAGGGUGUGAUGCCUGCCCGGUGCUGGAAGGUUAAUUGAUGGUGUAAUCGCAAGAGAAGCACCUGAUCGAAGCCCCAGUAAACGGCGGCCGUAACUAUAACGGUCCUAAGGUAGCGAAAUUCCUUGUCGGGUAAGUUCCGACCUGCACGAAUGGCAUAAUGAUGGCCAGGCUGUCUCC